UCUGUCUACAAAAUAUUUCCCAAAUCAAUCCACUUUCUCUCCAUUUUCACUGCCUCCAUGUUGUGGAUACUUCAGUGCCCAACCGGGACCUCCCUUUAAGAUAUUCCCAGAUGCUCAGCAGUCACCCACCUCUGUGCGCUGCCACCACGGAGGAAGGUUCAUUCACAGGCAAAUUGUGGAAUGCUUAUUAUGUGCCAAGUAUAAAGCUUUGUAUGCUUGAGGAAUACGUUAAGGAAAAAGGACAUGGUCCUUGUGUUUGUGGAACAUGAGGUCUAAAGAAAAAAGAGACUUUAGAGAAACAGGCCUCAUUCCUGUAUGACUUUCCAAGAACUACAUGCAGCCCAAACCUGGAAAGGGCAGAGAGAAAUUGGUCAGUGAAGGUUCUCAAAGCCACGGAGGGAAAACUGGAGGCUUGGAAUUCACAGCCCAUUAAAGUGACUUUGUAACUCACUCAUGAAUCAAAACCUGGAGUUUGAAAAACACCAAACUAGACAAUGAUAAUGGUCCUUCCAGAUCCUGGGCAGGGGAGGGAGCUUUUGCAUAACUAGUGGGUCUUUGUUACUGCUCUUGUUAACAAUUGUGUGUACGAAAGACCUUCACCCGCGCCGCCCUGGAUAGAGGAUCCAGUACUGCCCUCACCCUAAGCACAUGGGAAUUUUAUUUUUAAAUGUCUCUAGAAUUAGAUUGUAGAACCACAUAAAAAUAUCUCAGCAGCUGACACCAAAGAGGCACUCCUUCAUUCAUUCCUUUGUUUAAUUAUUCAAUAAAGUCUUUUCAUUUUAUUGUGAAA